GACCAACUUCAUACUGACGGUAGUGGGCGUGACCGCUGCCGUCCUCCUCCUCCGCAGCGACGUGAAACAGUCCGCCGCUAUCUUCCGCCGAAACGUGCGCCACAUCCGCCAGUGGCUCGAAGAAGAGUCCACCUCGGCUUCCAAGUAAGAAAAUGUGCAACUUUAAAACCGUUUGAUUCUUCGAGUAAAGUAUAUGACACGAUUCUUUGUGCAUAUGAUCAGCUUAUUGUUCCUUUGUUUGAUUAUUGACCAUUUGAGCUUGUGUGGAUCGUUCAUGUAUCUUACUACUCUGAGAUAGGCUUUCACACUAGCACAAUGUGUUCCUUAAAGUUUUAAGUAUUUAUUUAGCCUUUUCAAGCAUUUCAUAUAUAUCACAUUAAGUUGAUUAUAAACAUCUGCAAAUGGCGAUUUAAAAUCUUGAUUUUUUUUCCCCCAAAAAAUGAUAUCACCCAAGUGCGCGAGUAUAUUUUUUUCAAACAUGCAUUUUAUAACCUAAGAAAGCAUCGAUCUUUCAAAAUCUAUGGACCUAUUGCUUAUUGUUAAUGCCCUUUUAGAUUGCGUCUGCGACCCCAUUUUCUUAAGGAAUAAUGUUUCUGGACUUUAAACUGUGAAUAGUUGAUUAACCUAGAGCUUCUAGUUCAGUUACUUAAGUUUAUAUGUGAAAUUUUCUAGGGUUUUGUGUGCAUGUAAUGAGUUUGGUAGUUUGUAAAUUAGCCUAUUUAGGAUAAAAUUAAAGAUUGCAGGUGGAUGUUUGUUCCAAGUUGAUAUCUGAUUUUGUUUUGUGUGGCCCAGUAACAUUUUUUAGAUAUUACAUCGAGAAUGUAUAAGCUGUUCGAUUGAUAAUUAUAAUAAUAGGCAACCAGGUGCAUCCAUUCAUGAAUCAAAUUAAUAGGAGAGAUCAUAUAGCAAAUUGGAGAUCUGAAUAUGCAACUGUUUGCUUAGUUGAAGAUAUUCAAAAAUGUAAAACCAAGUAGAAUCCUCCAAUGAAACUAUUAAAUAUAAAAUAAAUUUGAAAAAAAAAUCAUCUAAUAAAACAUAAUAAACAAUAACCAAAAUUACCAUAUAUGGAAUACAUGAAUCCCACUUAGCAUAACAAUUGACAAGGAGUGAAGCUUCUGAGUAGCUAGUUGUUAUACUUCCCAAGAACUAAAUAAUUCCACACUGAAUUUUGUUAUCUUCAAAAUUUGAUGACUCUUGUGCGUGUAGUAUCAACCAUGUUUUUUCCUUACCAAAAGUGCUUCCUUUUCUGGACAGUUGAAAGGAUGCGAACUAUCAUUGAUCCAACAAUUCUAUAACAAUCAUAUCCAAAGUAGAAAGUAAGAAAAGCCAAAGUGUAAUACACAUAUUGGAAAAAAGCUGAUUUUCUUGCUGGUAUCAUAUGGAGUAAACACAUUCAUGAGCUUUAUUAGUUAUUACUACCAAUUAAUCUCAUGAGAGACAAUCUACAUCAUCAUGAAAUAUCUGAACCAAUUCCUCAAUUGCAUUUAGAGAUAAGAUAGACUUGUUGGAAAUCCAUAGGUGGUUGGUGGGGAAAGAUAGUUCUGUACUUGUGAUGAGUACAUUUUGUUGGUGUUGGAAGCACCAGCUAAUCAAAUUUAUGUUUUGAUAUUGUCAAAGGUUGAAAGUUAAACUGUGUUGUUGUUCUAAUGAGUCUAACUGAGUGUGCAGGAAAGUUCUAAGUGAUCUUAGACAAGCUAAAAGUACUAGUUGACGCUAGGCAAAGAAGUCUUAGUGGAUACUAGGUAGGUGGAAAGUCCUAGUUGUGAUUAGGCAAUGAAGUCUUGGUCUGGGGGACUAGACAAAGUCUUGGCAGGUCAAAGAUCUCGGGCAAAAUCCUAGGGUCGCGGACACUAGGUAAAAGUCCUGGGGUUGCAGACACUAGGCGGAAGACUAGAUGGGUCAGAGAUCGGACGUCUCGGAUGCUGAGCAAAAGUCUAAACGGUUUGGAGGACCGGUUUGACAAAAGGUAAACUCUCUUGAGAGGAAUAGGUGAUGACGCAUUCCCCGUAGAGGGAACAGUAGGGCGUCGGUUCGACGAGAGUUUCGAGAGAAAUCCGAAAGUCAAAACCAGAUAGUCCGAAGAUUGCCAAAUAUUUUUAUUUCGAUAUUAUUUGUUGUGCUAACUUUGUUUUGCAGGGUAUCUUCGGUAUUUGGAUUAACAUGCCUUGCAGGAAGUGAAAUGCACAAAAGAACACUCGGAUGAAUAGUGCUCGAGGCGUCUCCUGUGCUGCUGGAGGUGGCUCGGCUGCCUUGGCCGAAGCAUCGUACGGAUGGGCGCAGAGGCGCCUUGUAGUGCCUGGAAGGUGUCUUGGAGGUUGGCGUGGAGGCAUCUUCGAAAGGAUAAAAUUUGCAGAAUGCGGUGAUUAUCGCAACCGAAGCUUAGGGAAUAAAAUCUACACUUGGAGGUGCCUUCAACAGCUUAUAAAAGAAGUCUUUGAGCAGCUCUCUCAACAGAACUUCAAUUAACGAUUUCUCUCUUGUGCAUUGCUCCAAAGACGACGCUACGACUUUGCAACGCGACUCCGACGACCAAAAGCCCGGAACUUCUAAUCCUUAGUUGUAGUGUGAAGAAAUCACGAGCACUAUCCCCCAGCGCAUCGAUCCUACACAUUUAUGGGGAAAGAAAGAAUUGUGUCAACCAGAGCCAUUUUUCUCAAUCACAUUUAGAGAUAGAAAAAGACAUUAAAAUCAAAUGGUGGCCAGCGGAGAAAGAUACUUCUGUUGUUGUAUGCAAAUAUCUCUAUUUUAGUAUCUGUGGAACGAUCAGCACCGAAGGACUUGGAUUCUCAGGCAGUGAAGAAAGACAUUCCCAAAGAUGAGAAGCAUUAGAACAGGAGUCUCAAAUGGAUGUGAAUUACACUGUUAUUUUCUUGUAGGAAUGCUUGUAUUUUUGUUCCUCGAAUAAGAGCUAUCUAGGAAUUUUGUAAGUGAUUUUGUUGCAAAGAUUAACUAGUGGUGAGACAUUUCUAAUAAAGAUCAAACAUUUUGUUA